rnacentral:rRNA from 1 species
GGUUGAUCCUGCCAGUAGUCAUAUGCUUGUCUCAAAGAUUAAGCCAUGCAUGUCUAAGUACAUACCUUUGCACGGUGAAACCGCGAAUGGCUCAUUAAAUCAGUUAUGGUUCCUUAGAUAGUUCAUAUUACAUGGAUAACUGUGGUAAUUCUAGAGCUAAUACAUGCGAAAAGCUCCGACCGUAUGGGAAGAGCGCUUUUAUUAGACCAAAACCAAUGGGGUCGCAAGAUCCCUUUGUAUGGUGACUCUGCAUAUUAAGUCGUCGACUAAGAUUCGCGCUCCAUAAUUUAUA